GGGGUUGUAGUUAAUUAUAACAUUUGAUUUGCAUUCAAAAAGUAUUGAAUUUCAAUCUACCUUAUUAUUUUCAAGAAUAUGAAGCGAUUUAUUGCAAUUAGUUUCGACCUAAUCUUAGGUUUCUAAAACCCUUAUUCUUUAUUAAUUGAAGCCAAAAAGAGGCUUAUCACUGUUAAUGAUAGAACUGAAAAAUUUUUCCAAUUAAAGAAGUAUGACGUUCAAGAAAAAGCUGCUAACUUUUAUCUUUUAAUGGUUAAACUCCAUUUAUACUUCUAUUUAUAUAGUUUAAUAAAAACAUUACAUUUUCAUUGUAAAAAUAAAAUUUUUAUAUUUUUAUAAAUUACUAAAAAUAAUUAACUAUAUCUAAGAAUUAAAAUAAUUACCCUAACAUGUUCAGUGUUAUGCUCUAAAUUUAAGCUACUUAAAU
rnacentral:tRNA from 1 species